rnacentral:rRNA from 1 species
GACGAACGCUGGCGGCGUGCUUAACACAUGCAAGUCGAACGGAAAGGCCCUGCUUUUGUGGGGUGCUCGAUUGGCGAACGGGUGAGUAACACGUGAGUAACCUGCCCUUGACUUUGGGAUAACUUCAGGAAACUGGGGCUAAUACCGGAUAGGAUCUCCUGCUGCAUGGUGGGGGUUGGUAAGUUUCGGCGGUUGGGGCUGGACUCGCGGCUUAUCAGCUUGUUGGUUGGGUAGUGGCUUACCAAGGCUCUGACGGGUAGCCGGCCUGAGCGGGUGACCGGGCACAAUGGGACUGAGAUACGGCCCAGACUCCUACGGGAGGCAGCAGUGGGGAAUAUUGCACAAGGGGCGGGAGCCUGAUGCAGCAACGCCGCGUGCGGGAUGACGGCCUUCGGGUUGUAAACCGCUUUCGCCUGUGACGAAGCGUGAGUGACGGUAAUGGGUAAAGAAGCACCGGCUAACUACGUG